GACGAACGCUGGCGGCGUGCUUAACACAUGCGAGUCGUACGGUAAGGCCCUUUCGGGGGUACACGAGUGGCGAACGGGUGCGUAACACGUGAGUAACCUGCCCACAACUUUGGGAUAACGCUAGGAAACUGGUGCUAAUACUGGAUAUGUGCUCCUGCUGCAUGGUGGGGGUUGGAAAGCUCCGGCGGUUGUGGAUGGACUCGCGGCCUAUCAGCUUGUUGGUGGGGUAGUGGCCUACCAAGGCGGCGACGGGUAGCCGGCCUGAGAGGGUGACCGGCCACAUUGGGACUGAGAUACGGCCCAGACGCCUACGGGAGGCAGCAGUGGGGAAUAUUGCACAAGGGGCGCAAGCCUGAUGCAGCAACGCCGCGGGCGGGAUGACGGCCUUCGGGUUGUAAACCGCUUUCAGCAGGGACGAAGCUUUUUGUGACGGUACCUGCAGAAGAAGCACCGGCUAACUACGUG
rnacentral:rRNA from 1 species